rnacentral:rRNA from 1 species
AGCGAAUGGAUUAAGAGCUUGCUCUUAUGAAGUUAGCGGCGGACGCCUGAGUAACACGUGGGUAACCUGCCCAUAAGACUGGGAUAACUCCGGGAAACCGGGGCUAAUACCGGAUAACAUUUUGAACUGCAUGGUUCGAAAUUGAAAGGCGGCUUCGGCUGUCACUUAUGGAUGGACCCGCGUCGCAUUAGCUAGUUGGUGAGGUAACGGCUCACCAAGGCAACGAUGCGUAGCCGACCUGAGAGGGUGAUCGGCCACACUGGGACUGAGACACGGCCCAGGCUCCUACGGGAGGCAGCAGUAGGGAAUCUUCCGCAAUGGACGAAAGUCUGACGGAGCAACGCCGCGUGAGUGAUGAAGGCUUUCGGGUCGUAAAACUCUGUUGUUAGGGAAGAACAAGUGCUAGUUGAAUAAGCUGGCACCUUGACGGUACCUAACCAGAAAGCCACGGCUAACUACGUGCCAGCAGCCGCGGUAAUACGUAGGUGGCAAGCGUUAUCCGGAAUUAUUGGGCGUAAAGCGCGCGCAGGUGGUUUCUUAAGUCUGAUGUGAAAGCCCACGGCUCAACCGUGGAGGGUCAUUGGAAACUGGGAGACUUGAGUGCAGAAGAGGAAAGUGGAAUUCCAUGUGUAGCGGUGAAAUGCGUAGAGAUAUGGAGGAACACCAGUGGCGAAGGCGACUUUCUGGUCUGUAACUGACACUGAGGCGCGAAAGCGUGGGGAGCAAACAGGAUUAGAUACCCUGGUAGUCCACGCCGUAAACGAUGAGUGCUAAGUGUUAGAGGGUUUCCGCCCUUUAGUGCUG